rnacentral:rRNA from 1 species
UACAGAGGGUGCGAGCGUUAAUCGGAAUUACUGGGCGUAAAGCGUGCGUAGACUGUUAUUUAAGUCGGGUGUGAAAGCCCCGGGCUCAACCUGGGAAUUGCAUUCGAGACUGAAUAGCUAGGGUACGGUAGAGGGAAGUGGAAUUUCCGGUGUAGCGGUGAAAUGCGUAGAUAUCGGAAGGAACAUCAGUGGCGAAAGCGACUUCCUGGACCAGUACCGACGUUCAGGCACGAAAGCGUGGGGAGCAAACAGG